rnacentral:rRNA from 1 species
UACGUAGGGUGCAAGCGUUGUCCGGAAUUAUUGGGCGUAAAGAGCUCGUAGGCGGCUCGUCGCGUCGACCGUGAAAACCCGCGGCUUAACUGCGGGCUUGCGGUCGAUACGGGCGGGCUAGAGUUCGGUAGGGGAGACUGGAAUUCCUGGUGUAGCGGUGAAAUGCGCAGAUAUCAGGAGGAACACCGGUGGCGAAGGCGGAUCUCUGGGCCAUUACUGACGCUGAGGAGCGAAAGCGUGGGGAGCGAACAGG